GAGAACCUAUUUCACUUCUUCUUCCCUCCGCUGCUCAAAACAAAUCAAUUCAAUUCAAUCUCAAUGCCCACCAAAUCUCUGCAAAAAAAUGUCAAAUGAAGAUCGAAAUCUCAAUGCCCGGAGCCCAUUUGGCUACUGUGGAAGCAAAGCGACGUCGUCAAACCGGUUUGUUCCUGGGCAAGCUCAGAUUCAUGAUUAGGCGAGGUGGGGAUUGUGUAGUUUAACAAAAUCAAUAAACCCUGCGAUUGAUUUGAUGUACGGUUGAAUGCUUGCAAUGUGCACACAGUGAAAAUCUUGCUGCAUGAUAAAUCUGCACCGUGAAAGUGUGUGGGGGGUAUGCAGCUGUGUUCGUCUGUUGUAUUUCUUUGAACAACUGGCAAGUUGCAGGUUUAAGUUCUGAAUCCGUUCAGCACUUGGCGUAAAGGAACAAGUGCUUCAGUGAUCCCGGCUGAUCUCUGCAAUAUUAUGUUAAUUGAGUUUACUAAGGAGCUUAGUGACACUCUGUAUGAUAGGUCCUGUAUUUGUCAGAGUGUACUGCACCAAUCUGAUUAAAUUCAUACAGAAUAGUUGAGAUCUUAUGUAUUUGUUGGCAGUUGGUUUGGGAGCUGAUAAAUGGGCUUCUUACCGGUGAGAAUUCUGCUGUGACAUUUGUGCCUUGCCAUAUUCUUACCGGUGAGAUCAGCCUUUACAGUCAUACAUUGCAAAUUAUUGGCAGAUUAUAAAACAAUACAAGUAAUAGAGCAUGUAGUUGCUUAUUGUGACCA